CUAACACCGAAGAAACUGGACGCUUUGAAAGAGGCAUAUCGGAAGCGUCUGACAGCAAGAGGGGAGAAGGAAGAGGAGAUCACAAAAAAAAUGAAGAAAGUGCGCGAGACGCUAAACGAUAAAAUAAAAAGCUUGAAAAAGUG